rnacentral:ribozyme from 1 species
UAUUGAAAGGAGAAUGAGUAUACAGAUACGGAGUCGUUGACAGCCUGACUGUUCUGUCGUUGGCGUCGGCAGGAAAAGUGUGUACGUAGAAAGGUGUGCAUACCUUUCCUUUGGUUUCGGCCACCAAAAAGGCAGAGAAGUCUGAAGGGAGCGGUCGUUCGGUCUCCGCAUCUGCUGUUUGAUGCAUGGGUGCUUUGGUUGCUUUCGGGUGAA